rfam:Schistosoma margrebowiei strain Zambia genome assembly, scaffold: SMRZ_scaffold0001882
AGCUAUUUAAAUUCGUGCAGAGAUUUCGUCAGACGCCAACUCAUUAGGACUGAUCAGACUUCCAAGAUAAGUGAAGUU